UGGAAGAAUACCGUCAAUGGUACAGUGAC
rnacentral:piRNA from 1 species